rnacentral:pre_miRNA from 1 species
UAAUAUAUCUGGAUAGAUUUUCAUCUAGUUAUAACAAAUUUAUAUCUGAUUAUUCAAAAUCAUCCGUUAUCGCAACUCUGACUAUAUCUUUGUCACUCAUAAAAUAUAUAUAUAUAUUUGGAUUUGGAUAUGAA